AUACUUACCUGGCAGGGCAGAUACUGCAAUCACGAAGGUGGUUUUAUAAUAUCAAGGCUUAUCCAUUGCACUCCAGGUGAACUGACCCCUGCGAUUUCUCCAAAUGUAGGAAACUCAACUGUAUGAUUUGUGGUAGCCGGGAAAUGUGUUGGCUCUCUCCCCUG